rnacentral:lncRNA from 1 species
AUGAGGGAUUUCAUAUUGGUGUAUAGAACAUUGAACGAAGUACUAAAUGGUGAAGAAGACACAAUGACAGCAAAACGCUUGAAUCUUCUGUUUAUUGUUUUUAUGGUUGGACUUAUAUAUUGGCACUUACAUUCAGCAUUUAGGAUUUCACGUGUCUUUAUGUUUCAAACAAUGAGACUGCAGGAGCAUUUGUGCCAGCACAUAUAUUAUAUGAUGCAUUCCAUGGAAAUAUCACAAUUUUACAGGAGUUUAUGCACUGUCUAG